GACGAACGCUGGCGGCGUGCCUAAUACAUGCAAGUUGAGCGCUGAAGGUUGGUACUUGUACCAACUGGAUGAGCAGCGAACGGGUGAGUAACGCGUGGGGAAUCUGCCUUUGAGCGGGGGACAACAUUUGGAAACGAAUGCUAAUACCGCAUAAAAACUUUAAACACAAGUUUUAGGUUUGAAAGAUGCAAUUGCAUCACUCAAAGAUGAUCCCGCGUUGUAUUAGCUAGUUGGUGAGGUAAAGGCUCACCAAGGCGAUGAUACAUAGCCGACCUGAGAGGGUGAUCGGCCACAUUGGGACUGAGAAACGGCCCAAACUCCUACGGGAGGCAGCAGUAGGGAAUCUUCGGCAAUGGACGAAAGGCUGACCGAGCAACGCCGCGUGAGUGAAGAAGGUUUUCGGAUCGUAAAACUCUGUUGGUAGAGAAGAACGUUGGUGAGAGUGGAAAGCUCAUCAAGUGACGGUAACUACCCAGAAAGGGACGGCUAACUACGUG
rnacentral:rRNA from 1 species